rnacentral:lncRNA from 1 species
UCCAAGGGGUUGAACCCAAAGGAGUUGAUGAUUAAGCAAUUCCUAAACUAUAAACAUGCAAUCAAAUGAGUCUCGCUAACUACUCACCAAGUUCUAUAUUACGACAAGGCAUUUACAAGUUUAAUUAUGCUAAUUAAUUACCUAAAAACAAAAAAGGACUAAAUUGUAAAUAAAAUAAAAUAAAAUAAAAUAUGAAACUGUAACACCAUAUACCCGAC